rnacentral:rRNA from 1 species
UACGAAGGGUGCAAGCGUUACUCGGAAUUACUGGGCGUAAAGCGUGCGUAGGUGGUUUGUUAAGUCUGCUGUGAAAGCCCCCGGGCUCAACCUGGGAAUGGCAGUGGAUACUGGCAAGCUAGAGUGCGGUAGAGGGUAGUGGAAUUCCCGGUGUAGCGGUGAAAUGCGUAGAGAUCGGGAGGAACACCAGUGGCGAAGGCGGCUACCUGGACCAGCACUGACACUGAGGCACGAAAGCGUGGGGAGCAAACAGG